rnacentral:rRNA from 1 species
GAAAGGUGAAAAGUACCCCGGAAGGGGAGUGAAAGAGAACUUGAAACCGUGUGCUUACAAGUAGUCAGAGCCCGUUAAUGGGUGAUGGCGUGCCUUUUGUAGAAUGAACCGGCGAGUUACGAUCUGAUGCAAGGUUAAGCAGCAAAUGUGGAGCCGCAGCGAAAGCGAGUCUGAAUAGGGCGUUGAGUAUUUGGUCGUAGACCCGAAACCAGGUGAUCUACCCUUGGUCAGGUUGAAGUUCAGGUAACACUGAAUGGAGGACCGAACCGACUUACGUUGAAAAGUGAGCGGAUGAACUGAGGGUAGCGGAGAAAUUCCAAUCGAACUUGGAGAUAGCUGGUUCUCUCCGAAAUAGCUUUAGGGCUAGCCUCAAGUGAUGAUUAUUGGAGGUAGAGCACUGUUUGGACGAGGGGCCCCUCUCGGGUUACCGAAUUCAGACAAACUCCGAAUGCCAAUUAAUUUAACUUGGGAGUCAGAACAUGGGUGAUAAGGUCCGUGUUCGAAAGGGAAACAGCCCAGACCACCAGCUAAGGUCCCAAAAUAUAUGUUAAGUGGAAAAGGAUGUGGCGUUGCCCAGACAACUAGGAUGUUGGCUUAGAAGCAGCCAUCAUUUAAAGAGUGCGUAAUAGCUCACUAGUCGAGUGACACUGCGCCGAAAAUGUACCGGGGCUAAACAUAUUACCGAAGCUGUGGAUUGUCCUUUGGACAAUGGUAGGAGAGCGUUCUAAGGGCGUCGAAGCAUGAUCGCAAGGACAUGUGGAGCGCUUAGAAGUGAGAAUGCCGGUGUGAGUAGCGAAAGACGGGUGAGAAUCCCGUCCACCGAUUGACUAAGGUUUCCAGAGGAAGGCUCGUCCGCUCUGGGUUAGUCGGGUCCUAAGCUGAGGCCGACAGGCGUAGGCGAUGGAUAACAGGUUGAUAUUCCUGUACCACCUAGUAUCGUUUUAAUCGAUGGGGGGACGCAGUAGGAUAGGCGAAGCGUGCUGUUGGAGUGCACGUCCAAGCAGUAAGGCUGAGUGUUAGGCAAAUCCGGCACUCAUAAGGCUGAGCUGUGAUGGGGAGAGGAAAUUGUUUCCUCGAGUCGUUGAUUUCACACUGCCGAGAAAAGCCUCUAGAUAGAUAACAGGUGCCCGUACCGCAAACCGACACAGGUAGUCAAGAUGAGAAUUCUAAGGUGAGCGAGCGAACUCUCGUUAAGGAACUCGGCAAAAUGACCCCGUAACUUCGGGAGAAGGGGUGCUCUUUAGGGUUCACGCCCAGAAGAGCCGCAGUGAAUAGGCCCAAGCGACUGUUUAUCAAAAACACAGGUCUCUGCUAAACCGUAAGGUGAUGUAUAGGGGCUGACGCCUGCCCGGUGCUGGAAGGUUAAGAGGAGUGGUUAGCUUCUGCGAAGCUACGAAUCGAAGCCCCAGUAAACGGCGGCCGUAACUAUAACGGUCCUAAGGUAGCGAAAUUCCUUGUCGGGUAAGUUCCGACCCGCACGAAAGGCGUAACGAUUUGGGCACUGUCUCAACGAGAGACUCGGUGAAAUCAUAGUACCUGUGAAGAUGCAGGUUACCCGCGACAGGACGGAAAGACCCCGUGGAGCUUUACUGUAGCCUGAUAUUGAAAUUCGGCACAGCUUGUACAGGAUAGGUAGGAGCCUUUGAAACGUGAGCGCUAGCUUACGUGGAGGCGUUGGUGGGAUACUACCCUAGCUGUGUUGGCUUUCUAACCCGCACCACUUAUCGUGGUGGGAGACAGUGUCAGGCGGGCAGUUUGACUGGGGCGGUCGCCUCCUAAAAGGUAACGGAGGCGCUCAAAGGUUCCCUC